UACGUAGGCAGCAAGCGUUGUUCGGAGUUACUGGGCGUAAAGGGUGUGUAGGCGGUUCUUUAAGUUUGCUGUGAAAUCUCCUGGCUUAACUGGGAGGGUGCGCCGAAUACUGGCGGGCUUGAGUAUUGGAGAGGAAAGCGGAAUUCCUGGUGUAGCGGUGAAAUGCGUAGAUAUCAGGAGGAACACCGGUGGUGUAGACGGCUUUCUGGACAAUCACUGACGCUGAGGUACGAAAGCGUGGGUAGCAAACAGG
rnacentral:rRNA from 1 species